AGCGAACGCUGGCGGCAUGCUUAACACAUGCAAGUCGCACGGGCAGUAGCAAUACUGUCAGUGGCGGACGGGUGAGUAACGCGUAGGAAUCUAUCCUUGAAUGGGGGACAACCGUGGGAAACUACGGCUAAUACCGCAUGAUGCCUGAGGGCCAAAGACGAAAGUCGUUUGAGGAGGAGCCUGCGUCUGAUUAGGUAGUUGGUGGGGUAAAGGCCUACCAAGCCUGCGAUCAGUAGCUGGUCUGAGAGGAUGAUCAGCCACAUUGGGACUGAGACACGGCCCAAACUCCUACGGGAGGCAGCAGUGGGGAAUAUUGGACAAUGGGCGCAAGCCUGAUCCAGCAAUGCCGCGUGGGUGAAGAAGGUCUUCGGAUUGUAAAGCCCUUUUGGCAGGGACGAUGAUGACGGUACCUGCAGAAUAAGCUCCGGCUAACUUCGUG
rnacentral:rRNA from 1 species